rnacentral:tRNA from 1 species
UCCCUGGUGGCUUAGAGUGUAAAGAAUCUGCCUGCAAUGCAGGAGACCUGGGCUCGAUCCCUGGCUAGAGAA